AGAGCAUUGAGAAGACCUUUCCCUAGUACGAGAGGACUGGGAAGGACGCACCUCUGGUGUACCAGUUAUCGUGCCUACGGUAAACGCUGGGUAGCCAAGUGCGGAGAGGAUAACUGCUGAAAGCAUAUAAGUAGUAAGCCCACCCCAAGAUGAGUGCUCU
rnacentral:ncRNA from 1 species